rnacentral:rRNA from 1 species
GACGAACGCUGGCGGCGUGCUUAACACAUGCAAGUCGAACGGAAAGGCCCUGCUUUUGUGGGGUGCUCGAGUGGCGAACGGGUGAGUAACACGUGAGUAACCUGCCCUUGACUUUGGGAUAACUUCAGGAAACUGGGGCUAAUACCGGAUAGGAGCUCCUGCUGCAUGGUGGGGGUUGGAAAGUUUCGGCGGUUGGGGAUGGACUCGCGGCUUAUCAGCUUGUUGGUGGGGUAGUGGCUUACCAAGGCUUGGACGGGUAGCCGGCCUGAGAGGGUGACCGGCCACAUUGGGACUGAGAUACGGCCCAGACUCCUACGGGAGGCAGCAGUGGGGAAUAUUGCACAAUGGGCGGAAGCCUGAUGCAGCAACGCCGCGUUCGGGAUGACGGCCUUCGGGUUGUAAACCGCUUUCGCCUGUGACGAAGCGUGAGUGACGGUAAUGGGUAAAGAAGCACCGGCUAACUACGUG